CCUACGGGAGGCAGCAGUGAGGAAUAUUGGUCAAUGGACGCAAGUCUGAACCAGCCAUGCCGCGUGCAGGAAGACGGCUCUAUGAGUUGUAAACUGCUUUUGUACGAGGGUAAAUCCCGAUACGUGUAUCGUGUUGAAAGUAUCGUACGAAUAAGGAUCGGCUAACUCCGUGCCAGCAGCCGCGGUAAUACGGAGGAUUCAAGCGUUAUCCGGAUUUAUUGGGUUUAAAGGGUGCGUAGGCGGUUCGAUAAGUUAGAGGUGAAAUCCCGGGGCUCAACUCCGGCACUGCCUCUGAUACUGGCGGGCUAGAGUGUAGUAGCGGUAGGCGGAAUGUAUGGUGUAGCGGUGAAAUGCAUAGAGAUCAUACAGAACACCGAUUGCGAAGGCAGCUUACCAAACUACGACUGACGUUGAGGCACGAAAGCGUGGGGAGCAAACAGGAUUAGAUACCCCAGUAGUC
rnacentral:rRNA from 1 species